GUGCUCACUUUAGCAGCACAUAUACUAAAAAAAUUGGAAUAAUCAGAGAAAAUUAGCAUGGCUCCUGCAGAAGGAUGACAUGCAAAGUCAUGAAGCAGUCCAUAUUUUU